AAUAUUUGACAAUGGGCGCAAGCCUGAUCCAGCCAUGCCGCGUGAGUGAAGAAGGCCUUCGGGUGGUAAAGCUCUUUCGGACGGAAGGAAAUCGCGCAGGCUAAUACCCCUCGCGGAUGACGGUACCAGUAUAAGAAGCACCGGCUUAAUACGUGCCAGCAGCCGCUGUAAUACGUAGGGUGCUAAGGGUAAUCGGAAUUACUGGGCGUAACACGUGCGCAGGCGGUUGAUUAAGACAGGCGUGAAAUCCCCGGGCUUAACCUGGGAACUGCGCUUGGGACUGGUUGGCUAGAGGACGGCAGAGGGGGGUGGAAAUCCACGUGUAGCAGUGAAAAGCGUAGAGAUGUGGAGGAACAACGAUGGCGAAGGCAGCCCCCUGGGCCGAUACUGACGCUCAUGCACGAAAGCGUGGGUAGCAAACAGG
rnacentral:rRNA from 1 species